AACGAACGCUGGCGGCAGGCUUAACACAUGCAAGUCGAGCGCCCCGCAAGGGGAGCGGCAGACGGGUGAGUAACGCGUGGGAAUCUACCCAUCUCUACGGAAUAACGCAUGGAAACGUGUGCUAAUACCGUAUACGUCCUUCGGGAGAAAGAUUUAUCGGAGAUGGAUGAGCCCGCGUUGGAUUAGCUAGUUGGUGGGGUAAAGGCCUACCAAGGCGACGAUCCAUAGCUGGUCUGAGAGGAUGAUCAACCACACUGGGACUGAGACACGGCCCAGACUCCUACCGGAGGCAGCAGUGGGGAAUAUUGGACAAUGGGCGCAAGCCUGAUCCAGCCAUGCCGCGUGAGUGAUGAAGGCCCUAGGGUUGUAAAGCUCUUUCACCGGUGAAGAUAAUGACGGUAACCGGAGAAGAAGCCCCGGCUAACUUCGUGCCAGCCGCCGCCGUAAUAC
rnacentral:rRNA from 1 species